GAUGAACGCUAGCGGCAGGCUUAACACAUGCAAGUCGAGGGGCAGCACGGCUUCGGAUGGUGGCGACCGGCGCACGGGCGCGUAACGCGUAUACAAUCUACCUUUUACAGGGGCAUAGCCCGGGGAAACCUGGAUUAAUAUCCCAUGGUACCAAGACAUGGCAUCAUGAUUUGAUGACAGUUUCGGCGGUAAAAGAUGGGUAUGCGUUCUAUUAGCUAGAAGGUAAGGUAACGGCUUACCAUGGCUACGAUAGGUCGGGGUCCUGAGAGGGAGAUCCCCCACACUGGUACUGAGACACGGACCAGACUCCUACGGGAGGCAGCAGUGAGGAAUAUUGGACAAUGGGCGAGAGCCUGAUCCAGCCAUGCCGCGUGCAGGAAGACUGCCCUAUGGGUUGUAAACUGCUUUUAUACGGGAAGAAACACCUCCACGCGUGGAGGCUUGACGGUACCGUAUGAAUAAGGAUCGGCUAACUCCGUGCCAGCCGCCGCGGUAA
rnacentral:rRNA from 1 species